CUUGCAGUCAGGAGGAAAGUGUUCACACAAGAGCAGAGGUAGCAGCAGAUUAAUGCUCUUGGUUUCAGAAUGAGAUGCUUACGAGUCACACAAACGUGCACAACAUCAACCACAUGACCACCACUUUAACUGCCCACACAAGAAAAAAAGAGCCAAAUGAGCACUGACUAAUUGCGACACAUUCCCCCUGUUGGAAGAAGCAGUUGUUUAUAUCCCCUCUUUCAGCAUCUUUUGAGCUAAUAAUGACUUCUUGCAGCUACCAAGAGUCGUCCUUACACACUCAGAGUGCUGCCGAUCUUUUGUUGUUGCCAUGCACGCUGGGAAUCUCUCUUCACGGGGUGACACCGAGCCCUAACAUGCUGCACUGAGGAG